AGAGUUUGAUCCUGGCUCAGAUUGAACGCUGCGGCAUGCUUUACACAUGCAAGUCGGACGGCAGCGGGGUAGUGCUUGCACUACUGCCGGCGAGUGGCGAACGGGUGAGUAACACAUUGGAACGUACCGGGUAAUGGGGGACAACCGGCCGAAAGGCCGGCUAAUACCGCAUACGCUCUGAGGAGGAAAGCGGGGGACCUACGGGCCUCGCGUUAUCCGAGCGGCCAAUGACUGAUUAGCUAGUUGGCGGGGUAAAGGCCCACCAAGGCGACGAUCAGUAGCGGGUCUGAGAGGACGAUCCGCCACACUGGGACUGAGACACGGCCCAGACUCCUACGGGAGGCAGCAGUGGGGAAUUUUGGACAAUGGGGGCAACCCUGAUCCAGCCAUGCCGCGUGUCUGAAGAAGGCCUUCGGGUUGUAAAGGACUUUUGUUAGGGAAGAAAAGGAAAGUGUUAAUACCACUUUUUGCUGACGGUACCUAAAGAAUAAGCACCGGCUAACUACGUG
rnacentral:rRNA from 1 species